rnacentral:pre_miRNA from 1 species
CACUAGGUAACCCUGAAUUCUUUUGAGUGCUGGAUUGAUGCUGUUUUCUAGCACCAUUGGAAUUCAGUUCAUCUGGUG